CCUACGGGCGGCAGCAGUGGGGAAUAUUGGACAAUGGGGGCAACCCUGAUCCAGCCAUGCCGCGUGUGUGAAGAAGGCCCUCGGGUUGUAAAGCACUUUCAGUGAGGAAGAACGCCUGGUGGUUUAUACCCAUCAGGAAAGACAUCACUCACAGAAGAAGCACCGGCUAACUCCGUGCCAGCAGCCGCGGUAAUACGGAGGGUGCGAGCGUUAAUCGGAAUUACUGGGCGUAAAGCGCGCGUAGGUGGCUUGAUAAGCCGGUUGUGAAAGCCCCGGGCUCAACCUGGGAACGGCAUCCGGAACUGUCAAGCUAGAGUGCAGGAGAGGAAGGUAGAAUUCCCGGUGUAGCGGUGAAAUGCGUAGAGAUCGGGAGGAAUACCAGUGGCGAAGGCGGCCUUCUGGACUGACACUGACACUGAGGUGCGAAAGCGUGGGUAGCAAACAGGAUUAGAUACCCGUGUAGUC
rnacentral:rRNA from 1 species